UCUGGCUCAGGAUGAACGCUGGCGGCGUGCCUAACACAUGCAAGUCGAACGGAAACUAGGCGCUUCGGAGGCUCGGCCAAUGUUGCUUAGUAUUAGUGGCGGACGGGUGAGUAACGCGUGGAUAACCUGCCUCAUACAGGGGGAUAACAGUUAGAAAUGACUGCUAAUACCGCAUAAGCGCACGGAAUCGCAUGUUUCUGUGUGAAAAACUCCGGUGGUAUGAGAUGGAUCCGCGUCUGAUUAGCUAGUUGGCGGGGUAACAGCCCACCAAGGCGACGAUCAGUAGCCGGCCUGAGAGGGUGAACGGCCACAUUGGGACUGAGACACGGCCCAAACUCCUACGGGAGGCAGCAGUGGGGGAUAUUGCACAAUGGGGGGAAACCCUGAUGCAGCGAACCGCCGCGUGAGUGAAGAAGUAUUUCGGUAUGUAAAGCUCUAUCAGCAGGGAAGAUAAUGACGGUACCUGACUAAGAAGCACCGGCUAAAUACGUGCCAGCAGCCGC
rnacentral:rRNA from 1 species